GGAUUUCCUUUAUUAUUUUAUUUGAUCUAUAGCAUUAAAAAAUAAAAUAACAAAUAAAUUAUUUGCAUAAUUACUAUUAUUAAAAAAUAUUAUUUGUAUCAUUUCUUUGAAACAAACUAUACAAAUAAUCUUUGGUUUUCAAAAGGUACAAAUAAUACAAAUAGCCUUAAACCCCGACAUCGCUAAAUGAGUUACUUUGUGUUCAAGAACAGACAAAAGAACUUGAAGGCAAGGCAUGCUUCAUCAAAUAGGGAUCAUCCUACUAAAGGAUAUAACUUGGUGUUUGAAGCCGAUAGACUUCUCUGACUGAAACCUGAUGCGAUGGAAUUAAAUUCUUGUGAUGGAGGUUUAAGCAAAAUUUUUGGGCAACUUCCCUUUCUUCGGUAUUGCAAAGGAGAUUUCGAGAAAAACAUCACAACACAAGUAAGUUUUUAAUUUUAAAUUCGCAAUUGAUACCUUAUUAUUCAACUGAUAAUUGUUCGAUUUUUGCUUAGACAUUAGGUUUCAAUUGAUACCUCAUCUUCUCAUCCAACAUACCACACUGUGCCUCUAGCUCUACCAAUUUUCCAAACAUAACAUCUGAAUUUUAUGGAAAUUUGAAUUCUUCAUCCCACUCAAAGAAGGACUCAAUCACCAUUCUUGAAAACAACAUAAAAACAAAAUUAACACUUUCUUACAACCACUACAAAAAAAAACACCAGAUGGCUACGGGUCCUUCCCGUCUCCAUCCUAUCGCUGUCACCCAUAUGGCGACAGGAUGGAGACAGGAAGAACCCAUAGCCAUUUUUGUAAUCGCCAUCAGUAUUUCAAGUAGUGAUCCUGUCUCAAUUGUUUGCGUAAGAAAGCUAAUGUCGUCACCAUUUUAUAUCUUGAACUUCCUAUUAUAUUUCAAUAUUAUUAUUAUUAUUUUAUUAUUAUAAAUAUUAUUUUAUUAUUAUUAGUAUUUUAAUAUUAAUUAAUAGUCCUUCUGAUUCAUUUGAGUUGUCCCAUUUAGUUUUUUGACACUAUUCAUCGAUGACUCUUAACUUGUAUUUUAUUCUUAAUCUAGACGUCAAAAUAUAGUCAUGUGGGAUCUUGUUUGAUUCUUCUCAUUAUAAAUUUUAUUAAUAUCAAAUUUUUAUAAUUUUUAACUAUGCACAAUUAAAGAUAUUUAGAAUUGAAUAAGUGCAUUUGAUAGUGUGCCAAAACUAAAUAGGACAACUCAAAUGGAUUGGAGGGAGUAAGAAUUAAGAGUUUAUAAUUUAUAAUUUAGAUUUUAAUUAAAAUAACAAUAAAUAUAUAAAAUUACAUAAAACUAAAAUAACAAAAAAAAUAUAUACGACAAAAAAAAUUAUGUAAACAAUAAACUAAUUAUAUUAAUAUAGAAAAUAAUAACAAAUAUAAUACAAAAGGUUUAAAAUGCUAAAUUUACAAAUAAAUUAUUUUUGAAUAAAAUAUACAACAUUCUAAAUCAUCUACUAAUUACCACUACCAUUUCCACCACCCCGCUGCAUACGAGACCUGCACGAGCCGCCUGGAGCACGUGUGUUACGAGAUCCUUGGAAUUACGAGAUGCACCGCAACAUCCACCAUGAAAUUAAAAAUUGAUAUUAGCAAAAAAUUCAUUGUUUAACAAAUAAUUAAAAAAA